rnacentral:rRNA from 1 species
CCUACGGGUGGCAGCAGUGAGGAAUAUUGGUCAAUGGGCGAAACCCUGAACCAGCGACGCCGCGUGUGGGACGAAGGGGCUUUGCCCUGUAAACCACUGUUAGAAGGGAAGAAAUGGUACCUCAGGUACCGAGGACUGUACCUUCAGAGGAAGGAUCGGCUAACUACGUGCCAGCAGCCGCGGUAAUACGUAGGAUCCAAGCGUUGUCCGGAUUUACUGGGUGUAAAGGGUGCGCAGGCGGGCUUGCGCGUCAGAGGUUAAAGACCCCGGCUCAACCGGGGCAGUGCCUUUGAUACGGCGAGUCUUGAGUACGAGAGAGGAUAGUGGAAUUCCUGGUGUAGCGGUGAAAUGCGUAGAUAUCAGGAGGAACACCAGUGGCGAAGGCGGCUAUCUGGCUCGUAACUGACGCUUAGGCACGAAAGCGUGGGGAGCAAACAGGAUUAGAUACCCCGGUAGUC